rnacentral:piRNA from 1 species
UCAAACAUUAUACACAGCAGGGUGACC